GAUGAACGCUAGCGGGAGGCCUAACACAUGCAAGCCGAGCGGUAUUGUUUCUUCGGAAAUGAGAGAGCGGCGUACGGGUGCGGAACACGUGUGCAACCUGCCUUUAUCUGGGGGAUAGCCUUUCGAAAGGAAGAUUAAUACCCCAUAAUAUAUUGAAUGGCAUCAUUUGAUAUUGAAAACUCCGGUGGAUAGAGAUGGGCACGCGCAAGAUUAGAUAGUUGGUGAGGUAACGGCUCACCAAGUCUGCGAUCUUUAGGGGGCCUGAGAGGGUGAUCCCCCACACUGGUACUGAGACACGGACCAGACUCCUACGGGAGGCAGCAGUGAGGAAUAUUGGACAAUGGGUGAGAGCCUGAUCCAGCCAUCCCGCGUGAAGGACGACGGCCCUAUGGGUUGUAAACUUCUUUUGUAUAGGGAUAAACCUACUCUCGUGAGAGUAGC
rnacentral:rRNA from 1 species